CUUGCAGUGAAAGAACCAAGGCGAACAGCAUGUGAACGAAAAACUUUUGAAGAAGACCUCCCUAAUGCAAUCUUAUUGCUUCCCUUUUUCUUCUUUCUUCUUUCUCUUCCUUUCUCA
rnacentral:ribozyme from 13 species